rnacentral:lncRNA from 1 species
AUGACACAUUCUAGAUUUUCUGGGACAGUUUCUGAUUUCAAGUUACUUAUUGUUUUUUCCCUAAAAGCAUUUCUGCUUAUCUGGGUCUAGUUUUUUUUUAUUCAGAAGGUAGUAAUAUAUUGCAUGCUGUUCCCCCAAGGCAUUUUAGUUGCUGUCCUUUACCUUUACUUUCAGUUUUCUGCUAUAUCAUCUGUGGAUUCCUGCAUUAAGGAUACAAGGGAACAGGGACACCUGAGUGGCUCAGUUGGUUAAGUGUUGACUCUUGAUUUCAGCUCAGGUCAUGAUCUCAGGGUCCUGGGAUCAGACCCCUGAAUGAGGCUACCCGCACAACAGAGAGUCUGCUUGUGGAUUCUCCUUCUCCCUCUGCUGGCUUGCUCUCUCUCUCUCUCUCUCUCAAGUAAAUAAAUAAAUAAAUAAAUAAAUAAAUAAAUAAAUAAAUAAAUAAAUAAAAUAAGAGAACAGUGUAUGACAAGUAAUUUACCAAAAACUUCCUUAAGAUUAAAUAAAAAUUAAUUCAAAUUAAAUGGAAAUUGGAGCUAUUAUCCCAAAAAAUCCGGCAACUAGCUUUCUAGUGAGUUCUCCCUCUCCCCCACGUAUAUGAGUACUGGGGGAGGAUAUAUGAAUUUUGGCUUGAACUAUGAUAUACACCAUCUAGGUUUAUUAAUCUCAUGAGAUAACUAUGCAAUCUGCCCCUGAGGGUUUCCUGGUGAUGAAAUUUUUCUUACUGUUUUCACAUUUUGCUUUGCACCUAUACAUUUCUCUCUCUCUCACUUUCUCUCUCUCUCUCUCUUUUCCGAGCUAGAAAUCCAUAAGUACCAAAGUUUAUUUUUUAAAAAGAUUUUAUUUAUUUAUUUGACAGAGAGAGAGUGUGAGAGAGCAUAAGCUGGGGGAGUGGCAGAAGGAGAGGGAGAAGUAGACUCCCUAGGAAUCCUGACUCGGGACUUGAUCCCAAGACCCCAGAACCAUGACCUGAGCUGAAGGCAGACAACCAUGGGAGCCACCCAGGCACCCCAGUACUAGAGUUUAUUUUUAACCAAGUCAUGAAUGUGAGUUGAAGAAUCAUGGACAGAGAGGGUCACCUGUGUUAGUUCUGAUCUCUAGUCAUGGGAUCCAAGCCCAUGAGGGGUUUUGUGAUCAGUACAGGGUCUGUUUGAGUUUCUUUCUCCCUCUACCCCUCACCCCCCCACACACACUCUUUUCCUCACUCCCACUGAAAUAAAUAAAUAAUCUUUUUAAAAAAAUCAUGUAUGGAGAACAUUUUGUUUGCUCCUUGAGUGCUUAAAAUCAGUAAUUAGCUGAAGUGAAUCUUCACAUAAAUACUGCAUUUUUAAAAAAUUUUAUUUAUUUAUUCAUGAGAGACACAGAGACAGGCAGAGACACAGGCAGAAGAGAAGCAGGCUCCCUGCAGGGAGCCUGAUGCGGGACUUGAUUCUAGGACCCUAGGAUCAUGACCUGAACGAAGGCAGACACUCAACCAAUGAGCCACCCAAGCAUCCCUAAAUACUGAAUUUUAAUGAAUAUGUCCUCUUUACAGUUCCUCAGAGGCUUUGGUCUGUAAAGUUAUCCUCAGUAUGGCUGAACCUAUCACUUAGAAAUAGUUUGAGGAGAAAACACCCAUGUAUAGACAUGAAUAUUUGUUUAAAGAUUUUAUUUAUUUGAGAGAGAGAGCGAGCACACAUGAGCCAGGGAAGAGGCAGAGGAAGAAGCAGACUCCUUGCUGAGUGGGGAGCCCCAUGUGGGGUUUAAACCCAGGACCCUGAGAUCAUGACCUGAGCUGAAGGCAAACACCCAACUGACUGAGCCACCCAGAUCACCUAGAAAUUAAUAUUUUUUUAAAAAAAGAAAUGAAAAAAAAAAAAGAAAAAGAAAAAAAAAA